CUACGGGUCGCUGCAGUUAAGAAUAAUCUACAAUGCGCGAAAGCGUGAUAGUUUGAGCCAGAGUGUUUUUCAAAUGAAAAACUUUUGCCAAGUGUAAAUAGCUUGGCGAAUAAGGACUGGGUAAGACGAGUGCCAGCCGCCGCGGUAAUACUCGCGGUCCAAGUCGCAGCCAUUUUUAUUGGGUCUAAAACAUCCAUAGCUUGCUUGAUAAGUUUCUUGUGAAAUUUUGUAUCUCAAAUGCAAAGCGUGCAAGAAGUACUGUCAAGCUAGAGACUGGAAGACGUAACGAGUACGUUUAGAGUAGCGGUUAAAUGUGUUAAUCCUAGACGGACUAACGAGAGCGAAGGCACGUUACGAGGACAGUUCUGACAGUAAGGGAUGAAGGCUAGGGGCGCAAAACGGAUUAGAUACCCGGGUAGUC
rnacentral:rRNA from 1 species